rnacentral:rRNA from 1 species
CGAUAGGCCUAACACAUAGCAAGUCGAGGGGCGAGCACAUGAAGUAGCAAUACAGAUGGUGGCGACCGGCGCACGGGUGAGUAACACGUAUGCAACCUACCUUCAACAGGAGAAUAACCCGGCGAAAGUACGGACUAAUACUCCAUAAUACAGGGAUCCCGCAUGGGAAUAUUUGUUAAAGAUUUAUCGGUUGAAGAUGGGCAUGCGUUCCAUUAGCUAGUUGGUGAGGUAACGGCUCACCAAGGCAACGAUGGAUAGGGGAACUGAGAGGUUUAUCCCCCACACUGGUACUGAGACACGGACCAGACUCCUACGGGAGGCAGCAGUGGGGAAUAUUGGUCAAUGGAGGCAACUCUGAACCAGCCACGUCCGCGUGAAGGAUGACGGCCCUACGGGUUGUAAACUUCUUUUGUAAGGGAAUAAAGUUUAGUACGUGUACUAUUUUGCAUGUACCUUACGAAUAAGGAUCGGCUAACUCCGUGCCAGCAGCAGC